rnacentral:rRNA from 2 species
GUGGUAAUUGGCCGUGUGCAAACGAGACUUCCCGUCCGCUUAGCCAUAUUUAAGCAGCGUACCGGCGGGUUAGUAGUUGAGUGGGUGAUCAUUAGCGAAUCCCCACUGUUGUAUGUU